CGUAGGGGGCUAGCGUUGUCCGGAUUUAUUGGGCGUAAAGCGAGCGCAGGCGGUUCCUUAAGUCUGGUGUGAAAGCCCACGGCUUAACCGUGGAGGGUCAUUGGAAACUGGUCGACUUGAGUGCAGAAGAGGGAAGUGGAAUUCCAUGUGUAGCGGUGAAAUGCGUAGAGAUAUGGAGGAACACCAGUGGCGAAGGCGGCUUACUGGUCUGUAACUGACACUGAGGCGCGAAAGCGUGGGGAGCAAACAGGAUUAGAUACCCUGGUAGU
rnacentral:rRNA from 1 species